rnacentral:siRNA from 1 species
AGCGACACUUAAACGAACCGGCC